rnacentral:tRNA from 1 species
GUUUUAAUAGUUUAAAAAAAACAAUGAUUUUGUAAAUCAUAAAUAGUUAAAACUUUAAAACU